GUACCUCGCUUACACCGAGAUGAUGCCUCUUCAGAAGGGCCAUUUUGA
rnacentral:tRNA from 1 species